rnacentral:rRNA from 1 species
GAUGAACGCUGGCGGCGUGCCUAAUACAUGCAAGUCGAGCGAACAGAUGAGGAGCUUGCUCCUCUGACGUUAGCGGCGGACGGGUGAGUAACACGUGGAUAACCUCCCUAUAAGACUGGGAUAACUUCGGGAAACCGGAGCUAAUACCGGAUAAUAUAUUGCACCGCAUGGUUCAAUAGUGAAAGACGGUUUUGCUGUCACUUAUAGAUGGAUCCGCGCCGCAUUAGCUAGUUGGUAAGGUAACGGCUUACCAAGGCAACGAUGCGUAGACGACCUGAGAGGGUGAUCGGCCACACUGGAACUGAGACACGGUCCAGACUCCUACGGGAGGCAGCAGUAGGGAAUCUUCCGCAAUGGGCGAAAGCCUGACGGAGCAACGCCGCGUGAGUGAUGAAGGUCUUCGGAUCGUAAAACUCUGUUAUUAGGGAAGAACAAAUGUGUAAGUAACUAUGCACGUCUUGACGGUACCUAAUCAGAAAGCCACGGCUAACUACGUG